UCCUCAUGGAGGAUGUUUACAAGGAAAUUCGGAACAUAAUCAAAAGAGAUAAAAGAAGUAUUGUUUUGAAAAUCGCAUCUUCUUCUUCAUCACACAAACCCCUAAAAUUCACCGAAACUCUCCAUGAAUGAAACAAUUGAAUUGAAGAAACUCAAAAUAUAGAUUUGUCCCCAAAUAGAAAGAACAUCAUAAAUCCUCAAAACCCAGCAGCGUGCUCAAAAAGAAACAUGCAUGAAUCCACGAAGUGAAAAUCACAUACAGACCAUGUGUAAAUCGAAGUGGCUCAAUCGAGCCUUCUUCAGGAAGAAAGAGAUGCAAGACAGACAGAAUCUUCUUCUUCACCAUUGUAACAUUGACAUACACAAUUAGCUGCAAAAGGCAGCAACCAAUCCAAAGUUUUCUUUGGUACAAGAAUCCAGAUACAUCUCAUAGUUUGUCAUUACUGGGUAUUAACAUUGAAGAGAGAUAACUUGUGGUUCCAAGUUUUCUCAAUUUACAACUAUGGAGAAGAAGAAUAACCAAAGAUAUGACUCUCUGUCACUGUGUCACACUCAAUAAGCUAAGAUGGAUUCUCUUUUUGCCAUACUUUGACUUUUGUUCUAGUCACUCCAUGUUCUUCUUUAACUUGGUUUCUUUUUCUUCUAGUUCCCAUGUUCUUUAUUCCAAACUGAGACAGCUUCCCUUAAAUGCUGCAAGUGUCCCUCUGAGUUUGAGAGUUUUCGGUGAACAAUGUAUCAUUAAGGACCGGAAUCUGUCAACGAAUAUGAGGACCAAGAUACCAAAAUCGUCUCCUGCCUUUAUUCUAUCAUCAGAGGAAGCAUGGGAAUUGUUUAGAAACAAGGUCGGAUACAAUACAUUAAGUAGAGAUCCUGUUAUUGUCCAGCUGGCAAGAAAGGUCGCUGAAAAAUGUCGAGGUCUGCCACUUGCGCUCUGUGUCAUUGGUGAGACAAUGGCAUCUAAAACUACUGUACAAGAAUGGGAGCAUGCAAUCGAUGUUUUGAAUACAUCCGCUGGGGAGCUGUGAGAAGAAUGUCAUUAAUGGCUAAUAAUAUUGAAGAGAUAACAUGCAGUUCCAAGUGCUCUCGUCUUACCACUCUGUUCCUCCAAAGUAAUUGGAAACUGAAGAAUCUCUCAGGUGAAUUCAUCCGGUCUAUGAAAGAGCUAGCUGUUUUGGAUCUAUCAGGUAAUUUCAACAUCAAUGAACUUCCAGAGCAGAUGUCGGGGCUGGUCUCGUUGCAGUUUCUUGACUUGUCACGUACAAGUAUUAAGCAACUACCUGUUGGUUUCCAAGAGUUGAAAAAGCUAAUGCACCUGGAUUUGGCUUUUACAAAUAGACUUUGUAGCAUCAACGGGAUAUCAGAGUUGCCGAUUUUAAGAGUUUUGAAACUACAAGAUUCUAAUGUUGUUCACGGAUACGUAAGCGAAAAAUAUUAUAGUGACGAAACUAGAGCUCGUGCAGAGGUUAGCUUAGUGAAGAAGCUGCAGCUCUUGGAGCACCUACAAGUUCUAACCAUAUCUUUAUCUACAGAUUUGGGUUUGGAGCAAAUUUCAUGCGAUAAAAGGUUGGCAAACUGCAUCAAUGUUGUGCAAAUGCAUAAAUUUCACCAGAAGCCGUUGAAUAUAUCCUUGUUGGUGAAUAUGGAGAAUCUUUGUGAGCUCAGAAUGCGAAGUACUUAUGUCUUGGAAAUUGAUUCAUAUAUAAAUUUCGGAGAAAGCAGAACAGACUUGUCUGAUCUAUACAAUGCGACAAGUGAAUGCUUCACCAACCUCUCCCUCGUGAAUUUAUUUGAUUGCAAAGGCAUUAAGGAUCUGACUUGGCUAUUGUUUGCUCCAAAUCUUGUCGAGCUACACAUUGUACAUUUAGAAGAAUUGGAAGAAGUUAUAAACAAAGAGAAAGAAACCAAUAUUACAGGUCUUAUUAUUCCAUUUCUGAAACUACAAAGCUUAUCAUUGAGCAGUUUGCCUAAGCUGGAGAGUGUCUACUGGUGUCCUCUACCCUUUCCAUUUUUGAGGGAAUUAGAUGCAAGUUACUGUCCAAAGCUGAGAAAGCUUCCCUUAAAUGCUUUAAGUGUCCUACGAGUUGAGGAAUUGGUUAUAAGUAUGGAUCCUCGAGAACAGAGAAUUGACCUUGAGUGGGAGGACGAAGUUACAAAAAAACGUUUCUCGCCUUCAUUCAUUGCACUCAGUCAGGUCUAAGCAUUCUUUUCUCUGGAUCGGGGAUAUUCAUUUCUCUUAUUCUCUUCCGCUUGAGUUUGUUUCAUGGUUGCUGCAUGAGAUCUAAACAUUCAAUUCUUUGCUGUGGAUUGGGAUUCGUCGUCACUGUCUAAAAUCAGAAUCUACACGUGAUUUUUUCCUUUUGCUUUAUGUUUCUUUCUUCUUGUAGUGUGUUUGUGUUGUUCAUUUGGAUUGUCUCAUUGCUAUUUCUUUUGAAAGUGAUUUCAAGAAACAUAAUUAUUAUCUCAGCCCCAAACCAUUACCAAUGGAGAAAAUA